rnacentral:rRNA from 1 species
UUGGAGGGCAAGUCUGGUGCCGGCAGCCGCGGUAAUUCCAGCUCCAAUAGCGUAUAUUAAAGUUGUUGCAGUUAAAAAGCUCGUAGUUGAAUUUCGGGAUCAAUAUAUCGGUCGUGCCUUCGGUAUGUACUGGUAUUAUUGGUUUCUCCUUUCUGACGAACUAUAAUGCCAUUAAUUUGGUGUUUUAGGGAAUCAGGACUGUUACUUUGAAAAAAUUAGAGUGUUUAAAGCAGGCUCACGCUUGAAUACAUUAGCAUGGAAUAACGGAAUAGGACGUUUGAUUCUAUUUUGUUGGUUUCUAGGAUCGACGUAAUGAUUAAUAGGGAUAGUUGGGGGCAUUAGUAUUCAAUUGUCAGAGGUGAAAUUCUUGGAUUUAUUGAAGACUAACUACUGCGAAAGCAUUUGCCAAGGAUGUUUUCAUUAAUCAAGAACGAAAGUUAGGGGAUCGAAGACGAUCAGAUACCGUCGUAGUCUUAACCAUAAACUAUGCCGACUAGGGAUCGGAUGAUGUUAUUUUUAAUGACUCAUUCGGCGCCUUACGGGAAAC